CUCCGCGCGCCUGCCCACGCGCUCCGGUACUCGCUGCUCGCGGCUGGCCGGCUCGGGAUUCCGGGCUUUCUUCCCGAGACCGCGUCCCCCAGCUGGGCCGAAGGUGGACGCUCAGGGGCUGGAGGCUCAGCGGAAUCCCCUGCGUUCAGUAGCCCCGCUCUCCCCUGUCCCGAAGAUCAGGGAUAGCAGAAAUGAAAGUAUAAUGGAAGCAGCUGGAGGAUUCCAGGUCCACUUUCACCCAAGUAAUGGAGACGGAAGGUUCAUCGAAACUUCUUCAGCUGCAGAUCUAGAAGUCAUUAGCUAUUCUAGCAAAGUAUCUGUCACAGAAAGGUGCUUCAUAAAGGUCUGCACUGUGCUCUUUUGACCUGUGUCUUCAAGCAUGUGCUGUCAUAACAGAUUAAAGAUGACUGAAAAUUAUCUGCCACUCAUUGCGUGAAAGGUGGGAUCUGUAGACCUCCCUCUUGAAUUUGGGAGGGUUCUGUGACUGCUGUGACCAAUGAAUAUGGCAGAAGUGACGCUUUGCCAACUUCUGGGUCCAGGCUAUACGAGACAGGCAGUUCCACUCACUGUCUCUUAGAUCCAUGUAAAAAGUUCAUCUACCCUGCUGGAAAAACCAUGUAGAGAGGCCCUGAGACUACAUUGGGUGGGAGAGGGGCUCAGCUGCACCAUCUUCCAACUGUCCCCAUCAAGAUGACAGAAAUAUAAAUGAAGCCUUCUUGAACUCCAGACCAUCCAUGCUACAAGCUAAAUGCCACCAAGCGACCCCAGUUAAUACCAUGUGGAGCAAAAAUAUCACUUAACCAAGCACUGCCUGAGUUUCUGACCCCACAGAAUUCUGACCCCAUACAAAUAAAAUAAUUUUUGUAAUUUUUUA
rnacentral:lncRNA from 1 species